GGUAGAGACGGGAUUUCACUAUGUUGGCCAGGCUGGUCUCGAACUCCCGACCGCAAGUGAUCCACCCGCCUUGGCCUCCCAAAGUGCUGGGAUUACAAGCUUGAGCCACUGCACCCAGCCUGGAAAGUAUAUUUAUGAAAGGUUUGCACUCCACAAAAGCAUCUUUGCUAGGGUGUCAAGGAAGAGAUCACUAAACCAACCCCAACACAUCCAUACAAUUCCAGCAAUCUAGAGAGGGCUGGUCCUUUUCCUUUUCUGGAUUAUUUUCUGUUCUCAGUAAAACAAGUAUUUACUGUGAUACUGAAACACUGGGAAAUUAACACUGAUUAAGAUAUUUUAAACACUGAGUCUUAAUUAUAACAGAACCAGUUUUCAUCAGAAUGCUUUUACGUCACAUUCAGUGAAGUGUUACGCUAAUAUAUUCUACAGCCCUGAAGAUAGAAAAAAGGUUUCUCUCCAGGUAUGAGAUAUGGUACAAAAAUACAUUUUUCCACAUACAAAAGAGAGAAAAAAACAAAGACAUGUGGCGGGUGGCGAGGGGAGGCCCAAUCCCAACACCCUACAAGGUUCCAUGGAAUGGAGAAGGAACAAAAAAAUCCCCAAUUAUUUUGGGGUAAGAUGUGCCCCAGAAAAGGUGAAAUCUAUGCAAUAAAACCCAGGUUUUCUUCAAAUCUAGCAUCUAGGAUUUCUAUCAGAGUUUCAAAUAAUCAGAAUUUCUAUCAGAAUUUCUACCCUGAGGUGACACCUACUAACUGUAGGUUCUUUCAUUAAAAAUGAAGACAUCUUUCACCAGAAUGUAUCAAGCUAUAAAACUGGCUUCAGAGCCUACACUUAGCCAGAGUGGAAAAAAAAAAUAGUGCAUAUUUUCGACAGCAAUUUUGAAUUGAUGCUUGAGGUCUCAAUCCACCAGCACCCAGAUAUCAUGUUACCUCCCUCAGUUGAAUACAAGUUAAAAUGAUGAUCUUAUCGAGAUCUCAAUAGAGCACAGUGCCCUUCAUGUUUCGGGUAAGAGGGUGGGAGGAGGAAUGAAGCGGGUAUUACACCCAGCCCAGUGACAGCUUAAGCCUUAACAUGCGGGCAUCUUACAAUGACCAUAAACAAGGGAGGGGCCAAGGCAGGGCUGGCGAUCAUUAGCUUUGCGCACAGAAUGCCAUGUUUUCCCCUGGCCAACAUAAGCAAAGCUGUUUUAGUACCUAAACGUGGUAUAGCCAAAUGCACAAAAGGAAAGAAGAUAGAGAUGACCUCCCGAGUUAUUUAUACCUUGUGCUAAAAUAGAUUCAUCUACAAGUAUCUAAAUGACAAAACUAGAAUGAUUUCAACCCAGUAAUCCUGUGUUCCAAUGUGCAUGGAUAAAGAUUUGAUCUAGGCCCAGCGCGGUGGCUCACGCCUGUAAUCCCAGCACUUUGGGAUUAUAGGGGUGAGCCACCCUGCCCAGCCUGCUCCAGCAAAUCUUAAAUAUCCAUGCACACUGAAUAAACAUGCACCUGAAACAGGUGCACGUUUCAGGAAGUGAAUGGAACUCUCCAGGAGAGUUUGGGUCCCAUCAUGUGUACCUUAGAAACAGAAGUCUCAAAAGUCUCAACAACAUCCACAAAAACAUCUGCAUCUGUUUUCCAGAUACUUGCAACCAAAAAUAAAACUUCACAGGAACACUACACAAGAAGUGGUAGACAGCUAAAUCUUCUCCAAACUGAGACCUGGACCAUAAGGUCUUGGUUGUAGCAGGUCUGGCAGGGGUUAUCUAUAAACCUGCACGCAGGGCACUGUGAGCGGGUUGCCAGGGUACAUCUGUGGCCAGGUAAGGGCCACAGAGACAGUCGUGAUCCCCAGCAGCUUCAAAGCUGCAAAAUGCUGGGCUUUUUUUUUUUUUUUUAAGAUGAAGUCUUGCUCUGUUGCCUAGGCUGGAGUGCAGUGGCGUGAUCUCGGCUCACCGCAACCUCCACCUCCCAGGUUCAAGCAAUUCUCCUGCCUCAGCCUCCUGAGUAGCUGGACUACAGGCACCCACCACCAUGCCUGACUAAUUUUUGUAUUUUUAGUAGAGACGGGGGUUUCACCAUGUUGGCCAGGCUGGUCUUGAACUCCUGACCUCAGGUGAUCCAUACUCCUCGGCCUCCCAAAGCGCUGGGAUUACAGGCAUCAGCCACUGCGCCUGGCCUAGGGCUUUCUUUUUUAAAAAACAAGUCCUAACAAAAGGGGGUUUCUACCAGCCCCUGAGCCACACCUUCUGAAACUCCCUUGCCCAGGAUCCCCACAGCUGUCCACCUCGCAAGUCCCACUCUCUGCCCACAGAGACUGCCUAAAAGGAGGACACAACAGAUUUCAGAUAAAAAGCACCUGUGUAUCGUAAAUAUUUCAGGAAAAAGAAUUCAGAUCUUUUCAAAGGCUUGCUUAUUGCUGCUAAUUGUUCCUGAGGAUCUUUCUAAGCAGCAAUAUACUUGAGAAUAUUAGCUGCUACUGUUUGUUUUCCCUCUAAGGUCCUGAGGAAAUCAAAAGAAAAAAAAAAAAACCCUCAAGGGUAUAGCUUUUGUAUAUAGCCCUAGUGAGCAAACUGCAAAUUGGGACAUGCAGUAGAUUCUGGAGCAAUCUCCAAUCCUUACCAGGUACUUCCUGGCAUCAAAUCCCCAGGACAUUUCUUGGCCCCUCCUUGCAUUUUCCGUUUCAAAAUGUUGAGGUUAAAAUACAUCGAAGCACAGAGGGAAGAAAAUCUCAGGUCUUCUAGAAAUGGCGAUGUCUUCAUUUAAAAAUAGGACUGAUGGGGGCUUGGCAGGGGUCUCUAGGAUCCAAAAGAGGUUGAGUUGCAUCCUGCAGCCCAACUGUCCACAUUUAGAAGUGACAACAUUCAUGAACUAAGUCAACAUCCACCAAAAAUAACAUGAAAUAAAGCUCACAGUUU
rnacentral:lncRNA from 1 species